AGUUAAUUGUAUUUUAUCUUCUGAUGGGUGGGUUGGUAGCUUUUGCUUUGCAACAGACCCAGAGGAAUUCUUGUGCAGCCUAAUGCCAAGAAUAUGUGUUAUUUCAUAUUCUGUUAUUUGCUUUAGGUUUAAGGUGGUGAGAGGAAAUUCCCCAGCAAUCAGCCCUAAGUGGUUCUGCAGUGAGCAAGUCUUUCAGUGCUUGAACAUCACUUAGUAGAGGCUCUGGGAACGGGGUGUGUGCACCAAAAAAGCACCAAGGAGGAACUGGAGCCUUGGCAGGACCGGGAGGGUGCCCAGAGCAGCUCUGCAAGCAGAAUGAGUGCCUUCACCCCUCUGUCAUCACCAGCCCCUGAGAGCAAUCACCACCCACCAACAGUUCCUGGAGAUAAGGCCGAGCCAGCUGGGAGAAGAAAGCCUUUGAUAUUCCCUGCCUUGCUGACUGCGUUUCUCACAGCUCAGUCUGGAGUGGGCCAGGGGAGGUGGCUGGACACGAAAGAAUAACACUGAUGGGGGAUGCAGGGAAGGUGUUAAUCUUCUGCCAUGUGUGUAGAUAGUUUGGAGUAAGCUUUGGAGGACUUUUGGACAGUGGUGUCUCAAGUGAACAGUGUCACGAACACUCUGAGUAUAAACACUACUGAAUAAAACAAGCUCAGGGGAGAUGUUUUGUGUGAGGCAGGUGCCUUUAUGUUUUCAGAGAUUUCAGAGAGUUUUAAAACAAGAACCACACAUUUUUCCAUAAUGAGCACGGCUGUUUGUAG